UACGUAGGGAGCAAGCGUUGUCCGGAAUCAUUGGGCGUAAAGCGCGCGUAGGCGGCCCCGUAAGUCCGCUGUGAAAGUCAAAGGCUCAACCUUUGAAAGCCGGUGGAUACUGUGGGGCUAGAGUCCGGAAGAGGCGAGUGGAAUUCCUGGUGUAGCGGUGAAAUGCGUAGAUAUCGGGAGGAACACCUGUGGCGAAGGCGGCCACCUGGACAACAACUGACGCUGAGACGCGAAAGCGUGGGUAGCAACGAGAG
rnacentral:rRNA from 1 species